rnacentral:pre_miRNA from 1 species
AGGAGGAACAGCCCCAGUGGCGGGCCAGCUCUGGAAACCUGGAUUCAGCUCCGGCGGGAACUCCGUCUGCAGGGCCUGGAGGCUCCGAGGCGGG